GGAUGUGAGGGCAAUCUGGCUGCGACAUCUGUCACCCCACUAAUCGCCAGAGUGGAUUUCAGCUGAUCUAGCUGGCUAGAUUGGGUAUUAACUUUCUCCCUCACUGCUCUGUGUUGCAUCUCUCCCAAAGCUGUUCUGCUUGGGUCAAAGAAGGACCAACCCCUCCCCUGAAUAGAAGGAACGACCACUUCCUUUGGGAUCAACGA
rnacentral:snRNA from 1 species